rnacentral:rRNA from 1 species
UACAGAGGGGGCAAGCGUUGUUCGGAAUUACUGGGCGUAAAGGGCGCGUAGGUGGCCUUCUAAGUUGAACGUGAAAUCCCUGGGCUCAACCCAGGAACUGCGUCCAAGACUGGGAGGCUUGAAUCCGGGAGAGGGAUGCGGAAUUCCAGGUGUAGCGGUGAAAUGCGUAGAUAUCGGGAGGAACACCAGCGGCGAAGGCGGCUUUCUGGACCAAUACUGACGCUGAGACGCGAAAGCGUGGGGAGCAAACAGG